rfam:Schistosoma haematobium scaffold147_23, whole genome shotgun sequence.
AUUCAGCUGACGAGUCCGAAAAUGGGACGAAACGCACUUCCUGGAU